rnacentral:rRNA from 1 species
UUGAACGCUGGCGGCAUGCCUUACACAUGCAAGUCGAACGGUAACAGGUCUUCGGAUGCUGACGAGUGGCGAACGGGUGAGUAAUACAUCGGAACGUGCCCGAUCGUGGGGGAUAACGCAGCGAAAGCUGUGCUAAUACCGCAUACGAUCUACGGAUGAAAGCGGGGGAUCGCAAGACCUCGCGCGGACGGAGCGGCCGAUGGCAGAUUAGGUAGUUGGUGGGGUAAAGGCCUACCAAGGCGACGAUCCGUAGCUGGUCUGAGAGGAUGAUCAGCCACACUGGGACUGAGACACGGCCCAGACUCCUACGGGAGGCAGCAGUGGGGAAUUUUGGACAAUGGGCGCAAGCCUGAUCCAGCCAUGCCGCGUGAGUGAAGAAGGCCUUCGGGUUGUAAAGCUCUUUCAGCCGGAAAGAAAUCGCGCAGGCUAAUACUCUGCGUGGAUGACGGUACCGGAAGAAGAAGCACCGGCUAACUACGU